CCUACGGGUGGCAGCAGUGAGGAAUAUUGGUCAAUGGGCGCGAGCCUGAACCAGCCAAGUAGCGUGAAGGAUGACUGCCCUACGGGUUGUAAACUUCUUUUAUAAAGGAAUAAAGUGAGGCACGUGUGCCUUUUUGUAUGUACUUUAUGAAUAAGGAUCGGCUAACUCCGUGCCAGCAGCCGCGGUAAUACGGAGGAUCCGAGCGUUAUCCGGAUUUAUUGGGGUUAAAGGGAGCGUAGAUGGGUUGUUAAGUUAGUUGUGAAAGUUUGCGGCUCAACUGUGAAACUGCAAUUGAUACGGGCGGUCUUGAGUGCAGUUGAGGUAGGCGGAAUUCGUGGUGUAGCGGUGAAAUGCUUAGAUAUCACGAAGAACUCCGAUUGCGAAGGCAGCUUACUAAACUGCCACUGACAUUGAUGCUCGAAAGUGUGGGUAUCAAACAGGAUUAGAUACCCCAGUAGUC
rnacentral:rRNA from 1 species